CCUACGGGAGGCAGCAGUGGGGAAUAUUGCACAAUGGGGGAAACCCUGAUGCAGCGACGCCGCGUGAGCGAUGAAGUAUCUCGGUAUUUUAAGCUCUAUUUGUAGGGAAGAAAAUGACGGUACCUGAGUAAGAAGCUCCGGCUAAAUACGUUCAAGCAGCCGCGGUAAUACGUAUGGAGCAAGCGUUAUCCGGAUUUACUGGGCGUAAAGGGAGCGUAGGCGGCUUGCCAAGUCUGAUGUGAAAUACCGGGGCUCAACCCCGGGGCUGCAUUGGAAACUGGCAGGCUGGAGUGCCGGAGAGGCAGGCGGAAUUCGUGGUGUAGCGGUGAAAUGCGUAGAUAUUAGGAAGAACUCCAGUGGCGAAGGCGGCCUGCUGGACGGUGACUGACGCUGAGGCUCGAAAGCGUGGGGAGCAAACAGGAUUAGAUACCCCAGUAGUC
rnacentral:rRNA from 1 species